rnacentral:lncRNA from 1 species
AGGGAAACUUCAUUAAUAACACAGUAUAGCGGUUGUAGUUAAGCUAAGAUCCCACCAACCCACUUUCUCACCCUCAGAUAACAUAUGGAACAUAGACUGAAAGAGUUAACAACAUCAACUCAGAUCGCAAGUCUCAAAAUACAUUCAUAAUGCCAGAACUAGGAGGUUAAUUAAUUACAUCUUGACAUAGAAUAAUAUUAAAAUGAAAUAAGCAUAGGAUUUGUUCAUUUAAUUUACCCUGAAUCUGCAAGUCACCUAUAACAGGCUCAUCAUCUUGGUCAUCAGCAAGAGGCUCAUGCUGCGGUGCAUCAGGCUGCUGAGACUGCUGAAGGUCAUCAAACUGACUAGAAGAUCCGGCCUGAGAAUGCUGAAACUCUACACCUCUGAAACGUCUCUGAGGCAUAACGUGUCUAACCUACACAUAUUGAUUACAAUAUGAAUUAAUACAAAUUAUACAUACACUAACAGAGGAAUUGCUAAUAAUAAAUAUAAUUUAUUAAAUAAAAACAUACAUCUUAAAACUCUUUGCAUCAACAGAGUCAAACAUCAUUCUGUCCUUGAACAUAUGUCCUAACUCAAUUGGUUGAAAUAUUUAGAUCAUCAAUCGGGACAAUAUUUAAAGGCACACAUUGAGUAUAAGUCUCCUCGUCUUCCAGAACUAUUCCUUUCCCCAUGUCAUACAAGUCCCUAGGUUUCGUUUUGAUAACAACAACCCAAUUCUUAUCUUUCGAGUCUUGUACAAAAAAUACUUAUUGAGCUUGAGAUGAAAAUAUGAAUGGAUCAUCCUUUAACAAGCACCGAUCCACCAAGUUUAGCUUUCGCAGCUAAGUGAAUGAUUAGAUGGACCAUAAUAGUAAAAAAAACUUGGAGGAAAUAUCUUUUCCAUUUAACAUAGCAAAAGUGCAACACAAGACUCCAAUUGAUUAAGUUCUCGAGAAUCAAGGACUUUAGAACAUAUUGAUUUAAAAAAUAUUGACAAUUGGAAAAUAACUGCAACAACUUGUUUCGGCAUUAAUGAUCUUAAAGCUAGUAGAAUUAUAUCUUGCAUCAAUACAUGACCAUCAUGACAUUUUAGAUUUGAAAGUUUCUGCUCUUUCAAAUUGACACAUCGUGAAAUGUUUGAUGCAUAUCCAUCAGGAACCUUGAUAUUUUUUAAAACUGUUAGAAAAAGAAGAAGCUAUUUUUGAUGAUGUGUAGAUUCUUUUCAAUCUAGGUAUGAGAGGAAAGUAACGCAAUACUUUGGCCGAUUUUUUUUUACUCCAUAUUGCAUCCACAUCAUUCAAUAUAUCAACUUCAUCUUCUUUAUGCAUUAUCCAUCGUGAAGAUCCACACACAUGACAUGACUCUUCAUUAACAUUAUCGCCUCGAUAUAAUAUACAAUCAUUCGGACAACUGUGAAUCUUCUCAUAUCUAAGAUUCAAUUUCUUUAUUAAUUUUUUGGCUUCAUAAGAGGAAGAUGGCAAAGUAGUGCCUUCCGAAAAUGCAUCAUUUAAUAAUUGAAGCAGCAUAGUAAAACUCUUGCCAAACCAUCCAUUCAAAUAUUUUAAAUGAAAUAAAUGCACAAGAAAAGAAGUCUUCGAAAAACUUUUACAAUCCGGAUAUAAUUCUUGAUCACAAUCUUCCAAUAAAUGGUGAUAUCCAGCUGUCUCAUCAUUAGAUGAACGUACGAGCUCCUCAACAUGCAUAGAAUCAGUAGACGUAAAUCCCUCAGGCAUUCCAACUGUUUCUUGUUCUCCACUAAAAUCUUCUAAAUUUUCAAUACCAAAUCCAAGAGCAUCUCUAAGCAAACCCCUCAUAUCAUCUUCUCUUGCAGGAUUUCGUUGUAAGUUAUCAGAUCCCCAAGAAGAUGUAUGUUCUACAUAGGAGGGUUGAGUAGAUGAAGAUGAUAACAUAGACUCUCCAUGAAAUACCCACUCGAUAUAACCCUUCAAAAAACCAUUCCAUACCAAAUAUUCUCCAAUAGUUUGUGGAUCCAGUGAAAAACAAUUUACACAUUUUUGGCAUGGAUAUAGAAUCUUUCCAUUCAUACUAGACUUCUCAACAGCAAAUUUAAUAAAAUCUUGAACUCCAUCUAAAUAAUAUUUGCUGGAUCUUGAUUUAUUUAUCCAACUUUUGCCCAUCAUAAGAUAAAAUUUGAUUGAAACUACAAUUUAACUGAAAAAUAAAAAAAAAAAUACUUCAUAUCAUUUUGCCGAAGAUUUAGCCAGCAAUAUCAUAACAUGAAGAACAUGAUAAAAUAUAAGAAAACUUGUUGCAUUCUAGAUGAUAUUUUUAUUAGCUAUUACUGAACCAUUCCAUCUAUUAGAAUUAUACAUGGGCAUAAUAACUUGAAUCGAACAACCUAUUUGAAACAUAAAUUUCAAUAAACUAAGAAAUAAAAUUAAAUAUCACACGCCAAACACUUCAGAAAGUAAUUGCACUAGCAAAACAGUUUGACAAACAAAUCUAUCACGAUAUUAGAUCUUUACUUUAUUUCUAUUUACAGUAAAGACAUGCAUUUAAUAGCAUACUUACAGUAAGUAGUGCAUACAUGAAUGCCAUCAUAGAGCAGAAAUACAAUUUAGAACCAAACAUGCCAUUAACUAAUGCAAAGGAACUGGUUAUGCAGUUAAAAAAUAAUAGUACGUAACCGAACAAUCGGAAUAAAACUUCAACAGAAAGUUUCAAAUCUGAAAAUAAGAAGGGACAAAGAGCCAGCAGCACCUGCACCAACAAUAACAUCUGAAACAGAGUGCUCUGAAACUUCUUGUUUAAGCAAAAGGGAGGCCAAGCCACCCAGUUUU